GAUGAAGAACGUAGCGAAAUGCGAUAAGUAGUGUGAAUUGCAGAAUUCAGAGAAUCAUCGAAUCUUUGAACGCACAUUGCGCCCCUUGGUAUCCCGAGGGGCAUGCCUGUUCGAGCGUCAUUUCACCACUCAAGCCUGGCUUGGUGUUGGGCGACGUCCCCUUUAGGGACGCGCCUCGAAACGCUCGGCGGCGCGGCACCGGCUUUAAGCGUAGCAGAAUCUUUCGCUUUGGAAGUCGGGGCCCCGCCUGCCGGAAUACCUACUUGUAAGGUUGACCUCGGAUCAGGCAGGGAUACCCGCUGAACUUAAGCAUAUCAAUAAGCGGAGGA
rnacentral:misc_RNA from 1 species